rnacentral:rRNA from 1 species
UUGGGGUCCGAGUUGUAAUUUGCAGAGGGUGUUUCGGGCACGGUGCCGGUUUAAGUCCUUUGGAACAGGGCGUCAUAGAGGGUGAGAACCCCGUAUGUGACCGGUCGCCAAACCCAUGUGAAACCCCUUCGACGAGUCGAGUUGUUUGGGAAUGCAGCUCAAAAUGGGUGGUAAAUUUCAUCUAAAGCUAAAUAUUGGCCAGAGACCGAUAGCGCACAAGUAGAGUGAUCGAAAGAUGAAAAGCACUUUGGAAAGAGAGUCAAACAGCACGUGAAAUUGUUGAAAGGGAAGCGCUUGCGACCAGACCUGCUCGCGGGUGAUCAGCGGUGCUUUUCGCGCCGUGCACUCAUCCGCGAUCAGGCCAGCAUCGGUUCAGGCGGCCGGAUAAAGACUCGGAGAAUGUAGCUCCCUCCGGGGAGUGUUAUAGCUCCUUGUGCAAUACGGCCAGCCGGGACCGAGGACCGCGCUCCGGCUAGGAUGCUGGCGUAAUGGUCGUAAGCGACCCGUCUUGAAACACGGACCAAGGAGUCUAACAUCUGUGCGAGUGUUUGGGCGUCAAACCCAUGCGCGCAAUGAAAGUGAACGUGAGGUGGGAACCCUUUCGGGGGCGCACCAUCGACCGAUCCAGAUGUCUUCGGAUGGAUUUGAGUAAGAGCACAGCUGUUGGGACCCGAAAGAUGGUGAACUAUGCCUGAAUAGGGUGAAGCCAGAGGAAACUCUGGUGGAGGCUCGCAGCGGUUCUGACGUGCAAAUCGAUCGUCAAAUUUGGGUAUAGGGGCGAAAGACUAAUCGA